AAAGGGCCGCGGUAUUUUGACCGUGCUAAGGUAGCAUAAUCAGUAGUCCUUUAAUUGGGGGCUUGGAUGAAUGGUCGGAUGAGACAUUACCUGUCUUUAUUUUUUUAUAAAAUUUAACUUUUAAGUGAAAAGGCUUAAAUUUUAUGGGGGGACGAUAAGACCCUAUAAAACUUUACAAGGUUUUGUUUAAUUUGAGAAUUUGGUAUAAAUUGGAUUAUACUGGUCUUUGUUUUGUUGGGGCGACAUGAAUAUAAAUAUUAACUGUUUGAGAAAUGUAAUACUGAUGGGUAGAAUUGUGAUCCUUUUUUAGUGAUUAAAAGAUUAAGUUACUUUAGGGAUAACAGCGUAAUUUUUCUUGAGAGUCCAAAUCGACAGAAAUAGUUGCGACCUCGAUGUUGAAUUAAAAUUUCGUUCAGGUGAAGCAGCUUGAUUGGUAGGUCUGUUCGACCUUUAAAAUUUUACAUGAUUU
rnacentral:rRNA from 1 species